rnacentral:rRNA from 1 species
UACAGAGGGGGCAAGCGUUGUUCGGAAUUACUGGGCGUAAAGGGCGCGUAGGCGGCCUUCUAAGUCAUGCGUGAAAUCCCCGGGCUCAACCCGGGAACUGCGUCUGAUACUGGAGGGCUUGAAUCCGGGAGAGGGAUGUGGAAUUCCAGGUGUAGCGGUGAAAUGCGUAGAUAUCUGGAGGAACACCGGUGGCGAAGGCGGCAUCCUGGACCGGCAUUGACGCUGAGGCGCGAAAGCUAGGGGAGCAAACGGG